rnacentral:rRNA from 1 species
GAUGAACGCUAGCGGCAGGCUUAAUACAUGCAAGUCGUGGGGCAGCAUGAGUAGCAAUACUUGAUGGCGACCGGCAAACGGGUGAGGAACACGUACACAACCUUCCUUCAAGCGGGGAAUAGCCCAGAGAAAUUUGGAUUAAUACCCCAUAAUAUAUUUGAUAAGGCAUCUUAUUAAUAUUAAAGCUUCGGCACUUGAUGAUGGGUGUGCGGCUGAUUAGAUAGUUGGCGGGUAACGGCCCAUCAAGUCUACGAUCAGUAGCUGAUGUGAGAGCAUGAUCAGCCACACGGGCACUGAGACACGGGCCCGACUCCUACGGGAGGCAGCAGUAAGGAAUAUUGGACAAUGGACGAAAGUCUGAUCCAGCCAUGCCGCGUGAAGGAUUAAGGUCCUCU